rnacentral:rRNA from 1 species
AACGAACGCUGGCGGUGUGCCUAAUACAUGCAAGUCGAGCGAACCACUUCGGUGGUGAGCGGCGAACGGGUGAGUAACACGUAGGUGAUCUGCCCAUCAGACGGGGACAACGAUUGGAAACGAUCGCUAAUACCGGAUAGGACGAAAGUUUAAAGGUGCUUCUGGCACCGCUGAUGGAUGAGCCUGCGGCGCAUUAGCUAGUUGGUAGGGUAAAGGCCUACCAAGGCGACGAUGCGUAGCCGACCUGAGAGGGUGAACGGCCACACUGGGACUGAGACACGGCCCAGACUCCUACGGGAGGCAGCAGUAGGGAAUCUUCGGCAAUGGGCGAAAGCCUGACCGAGCAACGCCGCGUGAAUGAUGAAGGCCUUCGGGUUGUAAAAUUCUGUUAUAAGGGAAGAACGACUUUAGUAGGAAAUGGCUAGAGUGUGACGGUACCUUAUGAGAAAGCCACGGCUAACUACGUGCCAGCAGCCGCAGUAA